ACCAGGCAUGGUGUUGAGUGCUUGUAGUCCCAGCUACUCAGGAGGCUGAGGUGGGAGGAUCACUUGAGCCCAGGAGUUCUGGGCUGUAGUGUGCUAUGCCGAUCAGGUGUCUGCACUAAGUUCAGCAUCAAUAUGGUGACCUUCCAGGAGCAAGGGACCACCAGAUUGCCUAAGGAGGGGUGAACCAGCCCAGGUCAGAAAUGGAGCAGGUCAAAACUCCUGUGCUGAUCAGUAGUGGGAUUGCUCCUGUGAAUAGCCACUGCACACCAGCCUGGGCAACACAGCAAGACCCCAUCUCU
rnacentral:SRP_RNA from 1 species